rnacentral:piRNA from 1 species
UGGGCCAUGGAUCCUCUCACCUGCCC